CAAGGAACGUACGGUUAACAAGUUAACAAACAGCGUCAUUAACAGCGUAUGAUUCCCCGCAAUAUCAACGAAUAACCGAAAUGCACUCAUUUUAUCUUAGUUCGCGCAGGAAACCCUUCGCGUAAAUUGGAACAAAUCUGUGUGAUCUGUGUGAAUCUGAGUGAUCAUUCCACGGUUUGUGUGGGUUAUGUCGGUAUUCCGAACAGCGACCUGAUAAACAUUGACAACAUGCUGGAUGACUUCGAAUUCAGCGACGACGAUGGGCGCUAACCCGCAAGGGAACGAUUGACACCAGACCGGCAAUUCAACGCGGAACGGAAUCUUUGAAUGGAGGAAAAUACGGAAUCGUAUGUUGAUCGUAAUCAUGGCGUAGUGAUUUGCUUUUCUCUUGACGGUGGAUGCUUCGGACUUCGCGUGUUAUGACGACAUUUUGGCCGUCGUUUGCAUGAUGCUGUUCCUUUUUUGAUCAUUCAAAAAGCUAUUAGAACUCUCGCCUAAGCAUUUACUCUCCGCGUUGAGAUCAGAGAUUUAGUUCAGCAAGAAAUUGUUAAUUUAAUAGCUGUUACGUUAAUAGCUGAACGAUCGCUCGCGAUCGCGUAGAACGGUCACUGCUACUGCUGCAAGAACUGCUGUUACUCAGAAUGCAGUCAUUUUGUAUAGUCAUUGUUAAGGUAUCAUAUCUGUUAUCUGUUAUCGAUUUAUCAGUAAUGCUUCUGAGUUAAUACAGUUCUACCUGCUGCUAAACAUUCCCUUGCUGGGGACGAAACCGACCAAAGGGAUUUUCCCGCAAACGGAAAGUAUCAGCAAAAAUCUACCAGCAUGGAAACGCCCUUUCCCUCGACUCGGAUCGAUCCGUUUCCGUACGUGCAGCUAACUAUCAUGCGAACGGGUGUGGUCCUAUGGGAGGACGACCUGCUGUUGACCGAUCCGAGCCCCUCUCUACAAGGUGUUUAAAGGUCGAGAUCAUUCGUAAUUACGAGGACAAAAGGUACCAGGAUUUCUUAGCUCGCCCCAUCGCAUGAGCUGGUGCUGUCACCGGCCAACACUUGGCAACAAAACAUCCAAUGCUUCAACAAGAACAACAAUCUGCUAAAUACAAUUUUCGUCAAUCAUAAUUUACAAAAGCCCAAAGUAUCCACGGCGGAAAUGUUGUUCGGUAUACCGAAACGGGUGUGAAGCGCUAUCCGAUGCGUAUCCGGUCUCGCACCAUCCUGCGACCACGAUUAUCCUGCGAGAGAACAAUCCUCCCUUGAUCGAAUCGUUGAGGCAGAAACUAAUCUGCGCCUAUUCACUGCGCCAGACGGAAAUCGAGGCAGCGACCGAUCUUGACAACGGUGAACCGGCAAAGAAAGUACCACCGUUACCAGCGUCACCACAAUCCAUCCUAAAACAUGUUCUACCCGGGAGAGUUCAAUCAAUCACGACGUACAGAUUCAGGGGCUCAGUCGAGAGGGGCUGUCGAUCACGAAGAACUUGCUGACGGUGAUUACCAUCCUGACGGACGGCCUGGCAACGUUUGCGCCGGUCGUUCAGGAGUUUUGCAUCUUCGCGAUCGUGCGUCUCAUGUCGGACUUUGUGCUGCGGAUGAUCUUCUUCUCCACCGUGCUAGCAAUCAACAUUGAGCGCCUGGAGUACAGCACGGAGUUGAGUCGACUACCGAAGAUGCUGUAUUGCUACAAUGAACUGGUGGUGGUGCCACGGGUACUGAACGGGGAACGCUGAACGUCACCAAGCAGUUGAAUCGGCUCAAACACCCGGACUACGAGACGGUUUAUUUACUUCCCAACUUUCUCACUGCAUCGACGUUCCUGGAGCAAUACAACGUGUUGCUCAGUGGCCGGUACGUAACCGUCUUACCCGCAAUAAAGCUGCCCCAUGCUGUCAACCGGCCAAUGACGAUCGCGCUGCGCAAUGCGUACGAAAACGAAGCGGUACGGCACUGGGCAGUGGGAAACUGGCCGAAAAGCGCAAAAUCAACGAGCUGAGUGUACCGACGGAGCACAAACCGCUUCUGACACCACCAACAAAAUCAUCUAUUUCGUUGGACUCGUUUCGUUUCGUCAAAAACAGCAUCAAUUGCCAGAGUUUUGUUGCUCUGAUGGGUCAUCCGGACCCUCGAGACAAUUCCCUUGACCGCGAAUAGAUAGUAAUAGAUAGUAAUAGUAAUAAUAAUGUACUAAAUGUAAUGUAGCAAUAAUAUUGUAAAUCCGGCGAUUGUGCGUUCGUCGCUGGGUUAUGAAAUAAUUGUGUA